CUAUCAUCAGAGGUCCACUCAAGCCUGAAGAAAAGGCAAGAAGGAGACUUCAUAAACUUUGCUUAUAUUGCGCUGCUAAGGACCAUGGUGUCAGGGAGUGUCCCACACUUAUCAGACAAAAGAAGGUGGCAUCAGCAGAAGAAAAAGAACCAGGCCGUAAUUGAUUCUGGUGCUUCUGGGAAUUUUAUUGAUAUCACUUUUGUUCUUGACAAUAAAAUCCCCCUAAUAAAGAAAAGUAAUUCACUA